GCGGACAGUGUCUGGUGGGUAGUUUGACUGGGGCGGUCUCCUCCUAAAGAGUAACGGAGGAGCACGAAGGUUGGCUAAUCCUGGUCGGACAUCAGGAGGUUAGUGCAAUGGCAUAAGCCAGCUUGACUGCGAGCGUGACGGCGCGAGCAGGUGCGAAAGCAGGUCAUAGUGAUCCGGUGGUUCUGAAUGGAAGGGCCAUCGCUCAACGGAUAAAAGGUACUCCGGGGAUAACAGGCUGAUACCGCCCAAGAGUUCAUAUCGACGGCGGUGUUUGGCACCUCGAUGUCGGCUCAUCACAUCCUGGGGCUGAAGUAGGUCCCAAGGGUAUGGCUGUUCGCCAUUUAAAGUGGUACGCGAGCUGGGUUUAGAACGUCGUGAGACAGUUCGGUCCCUAUCUGCCGUGGGCGCUGGAGAACUGAGGGGGGCUGCUCCUAGUACGAGAGGACCGGAGUGGACGCAUCACUGGUGUUCGGGUUGUCAUGCCAAUGGCACUGCCCGGUAGCUAAAUGCGGAAGAGAUAAGUGCUGAAAGCAUCUAAGCACGAAACUUGCCCCGAGAUGAGUUCUCCCUGAGACUUUAGGUCUCCUGAAGGAACGUUG
rnacentral:rRNA from 1 species